rnacentral:tRNA from 1 species
GACGAAGGGGCCGAGUGGUUAAGGCGAAUGCCUGCUAAUCCAUUUGUGCUCUGCACGCAUGGGUUCGAAUCCCAUUCUCGUCG